AGUGUAUCCUUAUUUAUAUACAGAAAGUUACCCUAGGAUUGUUAGGUUAAGUUACGUUGAGUUAGUAACAUAUACUCUCAAAGAUAGGAGAAUAAAGAGGGCGUCAAGUCACGUUCGUGGUAUUUUUUUCAACAAUACUCGCCGUGUGGUGGCCAGUGGUCAGAAAGCGUCAGUCGUUGGAACAGGUGGAGUAACUCCUUCAUUGCUGGACUAUUUCGUCGUUUGUAUUGAAGCCUCUGGCUUAUCUACUGUGUUUUGAUGGAUUAUUGAAGUGAAUGAUAAUAGAGACUUUAGAAAUAACUGACAUUAUUGGUAUAUAAACGGUGGUGAUGUGUCAACAAACAGGACCCAAACACCGACAGGCUGUACACAAGUCUCCUGCAGAUGAUGAUUGAUCCUCCACUGGCAAUUUCAUUUGGACACUGUAAGGAGGAUAAGAAGAAGUGUGGGAUAUUGUACAGAGGAUUACAAAAUAGUUUGGUGGUCUGAAGAUUAGAGAAAAGGGCAGUGUCCAAAGGAAAGGCUGCAG